ACGCUCGACACCUACGGGGGGCAGCAGUUAGGAAUAUUGGGCAAUGGAGGAAACUCUGACCCAGCAACGCCGCGUGAAGGAAGAAGGUUUUCGGAUUGUAAACUUCUGAUCUAGGGGAAGAAGGAAGUGACGGUACCCUAGGAGAAAGCCACGGCUAACUACGUGCCGNNCGCGAGUAUGNGNGGCGNGNGAGAG
rnacentral:rRNA from 1 species